CGCCCCUUGCCUAGAAAAAGCGUCGGGGAGAGCGGCGUCGUGUCGUUGCGCACCAUGGGCGGAGGGGAGGAGUCUGGGUGUGUGAAUCACGUGGGACUUUCAAACGCGGAGAAGCCCAGCAACUGCAGUGAUUUCACAGACGUGCUCACCCCAGCCAGCAGUGUCUUGAGAAGCUACAGACUCCAUGGCCAAGGAAUGAACCAUCCUAGAUCAUUUCAGCCCUCCAGUUCAUGAGAAUUGAGCAGAAAAUACCAGCCUAAGUUGCAAGAUAUUGUAAAAUUUCUGCAUGAAUUGAGGAUUGCUGCGUCUUUG
rnacentral:lncRNA from 1 species